AGGCUAUUCAAAGACUCAUAUCAUAUAUAAAAUAAAUAAAAAAUAUAAGAUAAAAAAAUUAAAUCUUUUAUUGCAUAAUAAGAAGAAAAUAUAAAAGAUGGAGAAAUAAAAAUACUGUCAUUACAAAUAGUCCAGUGUUUCCUAAGAUGUGACAUCUAGCCGACCAUCGAAAGAUUCUUCAUCAUGAUCUACAUCCUAGACAUUAGAGAUUCCUUUUUUAAGACUUGGAGAAGACCUUCAGGAGCAUGAGGAAGAGAUUUGAUGGAGAAUAGACUAAGAAAAGUGGGUUUGGAAGAGGUUGGAAGGUGGAAGAGGAUUGCUGAAAUUCUUAGGCUGCAAUCUGCAGGGCUGGAAAGAGAGAAAGAUUUAGAAGAUUUUUUUGGAGGCUUUUGGAUGUGAAUUUUUAUGGCUUGUAGAGAAUUGAUGGAGGCUUGGGAUGAUAAAGUUUGAGGAAAAAUAUUUGUACGUAUGGCCAGCUAAAAGUUUGGGAAGACAGAGUUGGCGUGAAGA
rnacentral:lncRNA from 1 species